GGCGGCGCGCUUAAACAUGCAAGUCGAACGAGAAAGUGGGGCAACCCAUGAGUACAGUGGCGUACGGGUGAGUAACACGUGGAUGAUUUGCCUUCUGGUGAGGAAUAACCCUGGGAAACCGGGGCUAAUACCGCAUAAGCCCGAGAGGGGAAAGUCGCAAGACGCCGGAAGAGGAGUCCGCGGCCGAUUAGCUAGUUGGCAGGGUAAAAGCCUACCAAGGCGAAGAUCGGUAGCCGGCCUGAGAGGGCACACGGCCACACUGGCACUGAAACACGGGCCAGACUCCUACGGGAGGCAGCAGUGGGGAAUCUUGCACAAUGGGGGAAACCCUGAUGCAGCGACGCCGCGUGAGCGAUGAAGCCCUUCGGGGUGUAAAGCUCUUUCGGCAGGGAAGAUGAUGACGGUACCUGCAGAAGCAGCUGCGGCUAACUACGUGCCAGCAGCCGCGGUAAUACGUAGGCAGCAAGCGUUGUUCGGAGUUACUGGGCGUAAAGGGUGUGUANGCGGUUGCUUAAGUUUGGUGUGAAAUCUCCCGGCUCAACUGGGAGGGUGCG
rnacentral:rRNA from 1 species